GACGAACGCUGGCGGCGUGCUUAACACAUGCAAGUCGAACGGAAAGGCCCUGCUUUCGUGGGGUGCUCGAGUGGCGAACGGGUGAGUAACACGUGAGUAACCUGCCCUUGACUUUGGGAUAACUUCAGGCAACUGGGGCUAAUACCGGCUAGGAGCUCCUGCUGCAUGGUGGGGGUUGGAAAGUUUCGGCGGUUGGGGAUGGAUUCGCGGCUUAUCAGCUUGUUGGUGGGGUAGUGGCUUACCAAGGCUUUGACGGGUAGCCGGCCUGAGAGGGUGACCGGCCACAUUGGGACUGAGAGACGGACCAGACUCCUACGGGAGGCAGCAGUGGGGAAUAUUGCACAAUGGGCGGAAGCCUGAGGCAGCAACGCCGCGUGCGGGAUGACGGCCUUCGGGUUGUAAACCGCUUUCGCCUGUGACGAAGCGUGAGUGACGGUAAUGGGUAAAGAAGCACCGGCUAACUACGUG
rnacentral:rRNA from 1 species